UUUUGGUUAUUAUGAAUAAUGCAGCUAUAAACAUGAAUGCAUGUAUAUCUCUUCCAGACCCUGUUUUGAAUAUAUCUCCAGAAGUGGAAUUGCUGAAUCACAAGGUAAUUCUAUAUCUCAUUUGAGGAACCUCCAUACUGUUUUCCACAGUGGCUGUACUAUUUUAUAUUUAUACCAACAGUGCACAAGGGUUCUGAUUUCUCCACAUCCUCACCAACGCUUGUUAUUUUCUGUUUUUUCAAUAGUAACCAUCCUAAUGAGGUGGUAAACCCUGCAUUUUUUUGUUUUUCCUUUUUUUCCAGAAACCAUAUUGAAGUAAAGUUGAACUAAGAUUAUGUGAUGUUCUCUGUGGGCACAGCCUCCAUUUUUACCUGGGUCUAGUGUUGGAUGAUGUUCCUGCCAUACUAUGCAAACUGGUCACAGGCAUCUCUUCACUUGUUCAGUAGACACAUUUAGGAGCCAGACACCAAGGAUUGGCUAAAGACACAGAGCUAACUAUGAAGAGGAGCUUGGAGCUCACAUCCUGCUAUAGGGAGGAACUGGCACAUGGACGAAGUGAUAACACAGAGAGAACCCAUCUUACCACAUACAGGUACAAGGAAGACACCAGAAGGAAGACACCGCAUAUCUUCCUAGAAGAAUAUGCUGAUAAGAAGUACCAAUCCAAGUGGCUACAUCUCCAGCACUCUCCCAGGACCCUUGCAGAAUGGCUUUCCUUAUCAACUCCUCUUCCGCUGACCUUGUCUACCACUCGGCAGUAGAAGUUCUCUUCACUUCAUGUAUCAGUGUUUUCAAGCCGGAACUGCUGGAAUAUUUUGCCUUCAAACCAACAUAUACUUAAAACUUUUAUCUUGACUCUGUUAUACAUUCUGAGAAUGGCAGAAGAGUAUUUAGAUCAGGCCUAAAGAAGAAGGUGUUAUCUGAGCAGACUGGAAGGACAUGAGAAAUGAGCCAUACAAAGCUGUUCAAGGACAACAUUGCAGGGAACUAAACAUGCUAAGGAGAAAACGAGGCAAGUUUCAGGCAACUUGAAGAAUACUAAGGAGGCGGAAGCGCUGGGUGCGGAACGGACCAAGAAGAAAGUAGAGUAAGAGUUUGGUGAGGCUGUGGGAGGAGAGAACAAGCAGGGCUGGGUAACCUGUCAAGGCUUUGUUUUUGUUUGUUGUUUUUGUUUCUUAAGCUUUAUUGAAGAAAUCAAGUACUAUAUAGUUCAAUAUAUAUGACACAUUCAGUACUAUACUCUUUGUAGCACGUGCAAUAAUGUUAAGAUAUCGUUUUCUCUUGAUAUAAUUAUUUCCUGGCUACAUGAAAAUAAUAUUCCCAGUAACUUUGGCCAAGGAUGAGAGGAGAACGUAGAACACAGCAGAAAUAGUGAACUACAACAGACAUGAAGAACAGAAACAGCAAGUCAACAGAACGUGAUUCUGACGAAGUGGAAACUGCAGAGGUGAAUGUGUGGAUUGUCCGGCCACAAUGUUUUCUUCCUUUUCAGGAACAAUUCACAGUACAUCUCUGUUCCCUGUGAAAACUCUCGUGUUUUAAAAUGUUCUCUUUGAUGGCUUUCUUGAGUGGGGCAGGCUGGACGUGGAGGUGCUUUAAGGAAGCGAUUGCAACAAUCUAGAUGAGAGAUCGUGGUGCCUUUUCCAGGGGGCAAGCGAUGGUGGUCGUGAAGGGUGAUCAGAUCAGUUCUGGAUACAUUUUCAGGUGGAGCUAGUCAAUUUUGCUGAAAAACUGGACAUUGAGUUUGAAAGGAACAAGAAUCAAAUUCAGAGUUUCUGGUCUAAGCAAGUGGGACGAUGGAGACAG
ensembl:lincRNA